rnacentral:rRNA from 1 species
GUGGGGAAUAUUGCACAAUGGGGGAAACCCUGAUGCAGCGACGCCGCGUGAGCGAGGAAGUACCUCGGUAUGUAAAGCUCUAUCAGCAGGGAAGAAAGUGACAGUACCUGACUAAGAAGCCCCGGCUAACUACGUGCCAGCAGCCGCGGUAAUACGUAGGGGGCAAGCGUUAUCCGGAUUCACUGGGCGUAAAGGGAGCGCAGGCGGCACGGCAAGUCUGAUGUGAAAACCCAGGGCUCAACCCCGGGACUGCAUUGGAAACUGCCGGGCUGGAGUGUCGGAGGGGCAAGCGGAAUUCCUAGUGUAGCGGUGAAAUGCGUAGAUAUUAGGAGGAACACCAGUGGCGAAGGCGGCUUGCUGGACGAUCACUGACGCUGAGGCUCGAAAGCGUGGGGAGCAAACAGGA